ACCCGCACAAGCGGUGGAUGAUGUGGUUUAAUUCGAUGCAACGCGAAAACCUUACCUACCCUUGACAUGUCAAGAAUUUUGCAGAGAUGUGAAAGUGCUCGAAAGAGAACUUGAACACAGGUGCUGCAUGGCCGUCGUCAGCUCGUGUCGUGAGAUGUUGGGUUAAGUCCCACAACGAGCGCAACCCUUGUCAUUAGUUGCUACCGCAAGGAGCACUCUAAUGAGACUGCCGGUGACAAACCGGAGGAAGGUGGGGAUGACGUCAGGUCCUCAUGGCCCUUAUGGGUAGGGCUACACACGUCAUACAAUGGCCGGUACAGAGGGCUGCCAACCCGCGAGGGGGAGCCAAUCCCAGAAAACCGGUCGUAGUCCGGAUCGUAGUCUGCAACUCGACUGCGUGAAGUCGGAAUCGCUAGUAAUCGCGGAUCAGCUUGCCGCGGUGAAUACGUUCCCGGGUCUU
rnacentral:rRNA from 1 species